rnacentral:rRNA from 1 species
GACGAACGCUGGCGGCGUGCUUAACACAUGCAAGUCGAACGGACAGGCCCUGCUUUUGUGGGGUGCUCGAGUGGCGGAAGGGUGAGUAACCCGUGAGUAACCUUCCCCUGCCUUUGGGAUAACUUCAUGAAAAUGGGGCUAAUAACGGAUAGGAGCUCCUGCUGCGUGGGGGGGGUUGGGGAGUUUCGGCGGGUGUGGAUGGACUCGCGGCUGAUCGGCUUGUUGGUGGGGUGGUGGCUUACCAAGGCUUUGACGGGUAGCCGGCCUGAGAGGGUGACCGGCCACAUUGGGACUGAGAUACGGCCCAGACGCCUACGGGAGGCAGCAGUGGGGAAUAUUGCACAAUGGGCGGAAGCCUGAUGCAGCAACGCCGCGUGCGGGAUGACGGCCUUCGUGUUGUAAACCGCUGUCGCCUGUGACGAAGCGGGAGUGACGGUAAUGGGUAAAGAAGCACCGGCUAACUACGUG